ensembl:processed_transcript
UAUAUGUAAAUGACAAUGCGCUCACGUGGGCCGGAUUAAAGGGAUCGGUAUAGCGGAAGACAGAGGCUGCAUCAACACCACAGCACCUGCGAGGCCAGGUACAUGACAAGGACAACACGACAGAAUGACAAAAAAGAAAAACCAAGAGUGAUGAGGGGGAGCAAGAUGGACAGAAGAGAGAUGAGGAAGAGGAAAUAAGCAAUGCUUCUUAUUUUGUUAGUGACAUCUCUACAGAGAAGACUCUAAAAUGAAGACACAUGUCCAUUGUCCAUGUACCUCUGUCAGCCACCAGCGUCACCUCACUCAAACUGAAGACUCUGAUAAUGAAGACACAUCUGCCCGUACCUCUGUCAGCCACAAGCGUCACCUCGCUCAAACUGAAGACUCUGAUAAUGAAGACACAUGUCCCCGUACCUCAAGUUCUGUCAUCACUGGCCAGAAUCAGGAGAUCAUUCAAAUGAUGACAGGACAGAAGGCUGCAGUGAGGCCUAGGACAGCUGAUGAGCAGGCUGCUGCAGUGAAGGCAACCCUGGACAACCCUUUGUUCUGAAAAAAUCUCCAGGAAAAGUGGGCAGCCAGGCUUACCUUCAAAACAAUCCAUUUAUUCACUCCAGACCCUGGAUUAACGUAAACGACUUUUGUUCAUAAGACAAUCCAAUCCAAGAAAAGAAGAAUAAUUUGAGCACAUCACUGUUCUGUUUAAGUUUGCUGCAUGGGAACACAUCUCUUAGUUUCUCUGCUGUGUUCCUUUUAUUUAAAACCUUUUGAUUCUCUUAUUGAGCAUUGAGUCACUACUCAACAUUUCUGUAAAAUUCCCUAAAAUUCAGAAAAUGGUGAUAAAAUGUGGUCAAAAGUUAAGCUGUGUUAGAAUAAAUUCUUCUUGAUGUUGUAGGAUAACUGAUAGAAAUGUACACUAUAAUUAAAACUAUUUACACAA